rnacentral:rRNA from 1 species
CAGGCCUAACACAUGCAAGUCGAACGAUGAAGCCUUCGGGUGGAUUAGUGGCGAACGGGUGAGUAACACGUGGGUCAUCUGCCUCGCACUCUGGGAUAAGCCUGGGAAACUGGGUCUAAUACCGGAUAUGACCCUGCAACGCAUGUUGUGGGGUGGAAAGUUUUUCGGUGCGAGAUGAGCCCGCGGCCUAUCAGCUUGUUGGUGGGGUAAUGGCCUACCAAGGCGACGACGGGUAGCCGGCCUGAGAGGGCGAUCGGCCACACUGGGACUGAGACACGGCCCAGACUCCUACGGGAGGCAGCAGUGGGGAAUAUUGCACAAUGGGCGGAAGCCUGAUGCAGCGACGCCGCGUGGGGGAUGACGGCCUUCGGGUUGUAAACCCCUUUCGAUCACGACGAAGAGCAAUUGACGGUAGUGAUAGAAGAAGCACCGGCCAACUACGUGCCAGCAGCCGCGGUAAUAC